rnacentral:rRNA from 1 species
AUACGGAGGGUGCGAGCGUUACUCGGAGUCACUGGGCGUAAAGCGUCCGUAGGCGGUCGGGUAAGUCGGGUGUGAAAGCCCAGGGCUCAACCUGGGAAGUGCACCCGAUACUGCUCGACUCGAGUGCGGGAGAGGAUGGCGGAAUUCCCGGUGUAGCGGUGAAAUGCGUAGAGAUCGGGAGGAACACCAGUGGCGAAGGCGGCCAUCUGGCCCGCAACUGACGCUGAGGGACGAAAGCGUGGGGAGCAAACAGGAUUAGAUACCCUAGUAGUCC